GGAGUGGUAGUUCAGUUGGUUAGAAUACCGGCCUGUCACGCCGGGGGUCGCGGGUUCGAGUCCCGUCCCC
rnacentral:tRNA from 1 species